AGCAGCCUUGGAUACAGACAGGCCAGAGAUGCAUAUCAAACAAUUAUCCAGCCAGGCAGAACCAACAACGUUUCAGAAAUCGGCAAAUAUCUCUCAGUGGUAACGUUAAACGAGAACAGUUUCACCUCACCUCACCAAUCAAGAGAUCCAGUACGGAUGACUGAAUUAUAAAACUAGAUCCAAGAAACACAGCUUACUGAGCAUUUUAUCACAACUGAAGAGAAACUAAGACAAAAAUCAGUACCCAGAAAAUGAGUGGGGCAAUUUCUAUAUGAGCAUACCAAUGAAGUUCUCCAGUCCUUUGAGCUGUUACCACUGAAACAUUCAAUAGUUUGGUGCUUUGGAAGGAGAGCUUAAUAGCCAUUUUUCUGGGAUCUUGAGAAACAAAAUGGUAUCAGAAAUGGAGGCCUGCUCAUGAGAUCUCAAAGGAGAAUGGGAGCUCUAUUGGAGAUGGACUAGGCGGCAUUCAUGUGAAGUUUUGGCAAAAAAUUUGACUACAUUCUGCCCAUGUCCUGAGAACUUCCAUGAAACUGAACUUAAACAUAUUUGACUAAUUUGUUUGAUCAACUGAGGAAAUGGGAACAAGAUUACAAUUUCACAGAAAGAGUACAGACAACAAAGCAGCUAUAAUUGUUCUUGAGAGUAGCAUCACUGAAUCGAACAGUGGCACUCUACACUGCAACAACAUAAAAGAUGACUUUUAGAUAAAACCCACUCAAUAAAGGCUCCAUAAAACAAUGCAAAUUUACAUGAAAGAAGAAAGCCUGAACUGAGAAAGCAGCUGAGGGAAUUCUCCGUCCCUCAAAAGCAGGAGCUUAAGAGAGACCUUUCCCAAGGUCAGCACACAAAAGCUGAUGCAACUCAGGUCCAAGUGUCCUAGGUACCAUCUAAUGGUAAGAACAGAACUUGACAGUGUCAUCCACAUGGUUUUGGUUAGAAGCAUGAAGGACAAGGUUGCAAGUGUCAUGGAGUCCUACUCCAUUCUGUGGUUUUAAAGAACUGAGGACAGGCAAUGUGUGGCAGGAUCCAAGACCCUGCAAUGGAGGUCUCCAAGAGAACAUUGUGUGAAGUUGCAAGAUAGACCUAGGUGGCAGUAGAGACUCCAGGAUAUUAGAGAUACCAAGAACAUGGGAGAUUUGUGAUGGAGACCUGUAGCCAUGAUACAUAGCUGAGAAAGAGACUAUGUACACUACAGAUGAUGGAGUUGGAGGGGCGGAACAUGUUAAAAACAAAAAUCAUUAUCUCAGCUUUGAAUUAAGUGUGAUAACAUUUCAAGUAUAAGUUGAAGCUACAGAGCUUAUCCUGAGGUUUCAAGAAAAAUUCCCAUCAAGAAAAGUUGCUUGUUCAUCUCUGAAAAUGAACGAGGUGGAGUAAGUGUAUGUCAUGUAAGGCUUUAAAUGGCUAAGAAAAGAAGGAUAACUUGGUUCAUGUUAUCUACCCCUGGAUGGCCUCUAGGCACUGUACAAACAAGCAGAGAGUAAGGUUAACUCUACAGCAAAGGAGGAAGAAUCGUAAACAUAAGGAAAAUGAGACUUACAGGUGCUUUCAGUUUUGAGUAUUUUGCAGAUGGCGCUUACUAUUUUUCCAGCACCAUGAGAGGUGGUUGCUGUAAACAGCUCUGGGUGAACAGAACUGUUCCUUAGAGUCUGGCAUUACAUCCCAAGGGAACACAGUUCUGAGCUUUGGGGUUCUGCCAAUGACAUUUGAAACAUCUGCUUUGCUGGGCUUGGUGGUAGAGCCCUGUAAGUCUGACUCUGAGGACAUCACAAGAGGAUCAGGAGCUCAAGUUCAUCCUUAGUUAGCUACCUAAUGAGAUUGAGGCUGUUGUUCUACCUGAGGCCAUGUCUCAAAACAGAACAACAAUUGUCUGCCUUGGAGCCUCUUGGGCUGUAGGCUUGCAUCUGUCCUUCAGGGUAUAAUGAGAGUGCUGUUGCUCUUACAGAGUGCUAUAAAUGGAUGUAUUUAAAGGUUCAUCUCUAAGUCUCUGUCUCUGAGCCUAAUACAGGAGCUGAACACAGAUUUGGGACACACAUUUUGGCAUCUCAACAUUGUCUGAAGGAGUUCGCUCCAGACCACAAAUCAGAGUUGUGUGUGCAACACAACUUUCCAACCUUCACUUGUAGGCAAUAAGAAAGCCAGAACAAAGUACAACUUUAACAUUUUCCAGUGGACUGAGAAAGAAACCACAGGCUUCUUGGGAAUACAGCAAGCAGAAGUUCAGGAGGCAAAGCUGGACAAAGCUUCCCUUCUGCUGAAGCUCCAGAGAAAAUUGGCUCCACAUUGCACAAUAGAUGACUCAAGUAGCACAUGGUGGAGCUAAGUGAUGUGAGCCCUAGCUUUAUAUUUCAGGAGAGCUGCCAACAGGAGAUACUAUCUGCUCCCAAAGGAGAAAGUUUUAAGUUACAAAAGUAUCAGGGUCCAGACCAUCUGGAGAAACACAUUUUUCUAAGUGAUUUGCUAGGAAAACCCUACUUCAAAGUCUCAGAGCUGAAGUGUGAUUACAUUGUUAAUAAAACCUAAGGGUAGAGAGAGUUGUCUGUUCAUUCCAAGAUGUAGAAAAUGUAUGACCAUUCCACCUGAAUGAGGGUUCCACCCAUACUGGCAAAGCAGAGUAGAAUCAAACACGGUGAUCAUAAAGGCAAGAAAUAUUGCUCCUCAAAGGACAGCAAC